AACGAACGCUGGCGGCAUGCCUAACACAUGCAAGUCGAACGAGACCUUCGGGUCUAGUGGCGCACGGGUGCGUAACGCGUGGGAACCUGCCCUUAGGUUCGGAAUAACUCCCCGAAAGGGGUGCUAAUACCGGAUAAUGUCUUCGGACCAAAGAUUUAUCGCCUUUGGGUGGGCCCGCGUUGGAUUAGCUAGUUGGUAGGGUAAAAGCCUACCAAGGCGACGAUCCAUAGCUGGUCUGAGAGGAUGAUCAGCCACACUGGGACUGAGACACGGCCCAGACUCCUACGGGAGGCAGCAGUGGGGAAUAUUGGACAAUGGGCGAAAGCCUGAUCCAGCAAUGCCGCGUGAGUGAUGAAGGCCUUAGGGUUGUAAAGCUCUUUUACACGGGAUGAUAAUGACAGUACCGGGAGAAUAAGCACCGGCUAACUCCGUG
rnacentral:rRNA from 1 species